rnacentral:rRNA from 1 species
GAAUUCGCCCUUAGAGUUUGAUCCUGGCUCAGAAUCAACGCUGGCGGCGCGCUUAACACAUGCAAGUCGAACGAGAAAGUGGAGCAAUCCAUGAGUAAAGUGGCGCACGGGUGAGUAACACGUGGGUAAUCUGCCUCUGGGUGGGGAAUAACUCUGGGAAACCGGAGCUAAUACCGCAUAAGCCCGCAAGGGGAAAGGUGAGAAUCGCCGAGAGAGGAGCCCGCGGCCGAUUAGCUAGUUGGUGGGGUAAAAGCUCACCAAGGCUGAGAUCGGUAGCCGGCCUGAGAGGGCACACGGCCACACUGGCACUGAAACACGGGCCAGACUCCUACGGGAGGCAGCAGUGGGGAAUCUUGCACAAUGGGGGAAACCCUGAUGCAGCGACGCCGCGUGAGCGAUGAAGCCCUUCGGGGUGUAAAGCUCUUUCGGCAGGAACGAUGAUGACGGUACCUGAAGAAGAAGCUGCGGCUAACUACGUGCCAGCAGCCGCGGUAAUACGUAGGCAGCGAGCGUUGUUCGGAGUUACUGGGCGUAAAGCGUGCGUAGGCGGUUUUGUAAGUUUGGUGUGAAAUCUCCCGGCUCAACUGGGAGGGUGCGCCGAAAACUGCAAGGCUGGAGUGUGGGAGAGGUAGGCGGAAUUCCUGGUGUAGCGGUGAAAUGCGUAGAUAUCAGGAGGAACACCUGUGGUGUAGACGGCUUACUGGACCAUGACUGACGCUGAGGCACGAAAGCGUGGGGAGCAAACAGGAUUAGAUACCCUGGUAGUCCACGCCCUAAACGAUGCAUACUUGGUGUGGGUA